GAUGAAGAACGCAGCGAACUGCGAUAAGUAAUGUGAAUUGCAGAAUUCAGUGAAUCAUCGAGUCUUUGAACGCACAUUGCGCCCCCUGGCAUUCGGGGGGCAUGCCUGUCCGAGCGUCAUUGCUGCCCUUCAAGCCCGGCUUGUGUGUUGGGUCGUCGUCCCCCCCGGGGGACGGGCCCGAAAGGCAGCGGCGGCACCGCGUCCGGUCCUCGAGCGUAUGGGGCUUUGUCACCCGCUCGAUUAGGGCCGGCCGGGCGCCAGCCGGCGUCUCCAACCUUCUAUUUUACCAGGUUGACCUCGGAUCAGGUAGGGAUACCCGCUGAACUUAAGCAUAUCAAUAAGCGGAGGA
rnacentral:misc_RNA from 1 species